rnacentral:rRNA from 1 species
AGGUCCGCCUGCCGGUGACAAAGUUUACGGCCUCGGUACCCUGACCGCGCAAAGGUAGCAUAAUCACUUGUUCUUUAAAUAGGGACUUGUAUCAACGGCAUCACGAGGGCUAAACUGUCUCCCCCCCCUAAUUAGUGAAUCUGAUCUCUUCGUGAAAAAGCGAAGAUUAUUAUAUAAGACGAGAAGACCCCGUGGAGCUUAAAACCUAAUAACACCUUCUUCACUGUAACCUUAAAAAAUAAGAUCUUUGUUAGAAGUUUUCGGCUGGGGUGUCCAAGGAGUACAACAAAACCUCCAUGACGAACAUUCCUCUACCCAAGAGCCACUGCUCUAAGAAUCAGCAAUCUGACGUAACAUGACCCGAUUAUUCGAUCAACGAACCAAGUUACCCCGGGGAUAACAGCGCAAUCCACUUCAAGAGCCCUUAUCGACAAGUGGGUUUACGACCUCGAUGUUGGAUCAGGGUAUCCCUGUGGUGCAGCAGCUACUAAAGGUUCGUUUGUUCAACGAUUAAAACCCUACGUGAUCUGAGUUCAGACCGGA